rnacentral:rRNA from 1 species
UACGUAGGGUGCAAGCGUUAAUCGGAAUUACUGGGCGUAAAGCGUGCGCAGGCGGUUUUGUAAGUCUGUCGUGAAAGCCCCGGGCUCAACCUGGGAAUUGCGAUGGAGACUGCAAGGCUAGAAUCUGGCAGAGGGGGGGUAGAAUUCCACGUGUAGCAGUGAAAUGCGUAGAGAUGUGGAGGAACACCGAUGGCGAAGGCAGCCCCCUGGGUCAAGAUUGACGCUCAUGCACGAAAGCGUGGGGAGCAAACGAGG